rnacentral:rRNA from 1 species
GAUGAACGCUGGCGGCGUGCUUAACACAUGCAAGUCGAACGAAGAUGCCGGAGUGCUUGCACUUUGGCAGACUGAGUGGCGGACGGGUGAGUAACGCGUGGGUAACCUGCCUUAUACAGGGGGAUAACAGUUGGAAACGACUGCUAAUACCGCAUAAGCGCACGGUAUCGCAUGAUACAGUGUGAAAAACUCCGGUGGUAUAAGAUGGACCCGCGUCUGAUUAGCUUGUUGGUGAGGUAACGGCCCACCAAGGCGACGAUCAGUAGCCGGCCUGAGAGGGUGAACGGCCACAUUGGGACUGAGACACGGCCCAAAACUCCUACGGGAGGCAGCAGUGGGGAAUAUUGCACAAUGGGGGAAACCCUGAUGCAGCAACGCCGCGUGAGUGAAGAAGUAAUUUCGGUAUGUAAAGCUCUAUCAGCAGGAAAGAAAAAUGACGGUACCUGACUAAAGAAGCCCCGGCUAACUACGU